ACCCAAUAGAUACCCGGGUAGUCCUGGCCGUAAACGAUGUCGACUAGAUCGCAGUUCCUUCAACGGAAAUUGCGGUCGAAAGCAAAAAAGUGCUAAGUCGACCGCCUGGGAAGUACGGUCGCAAGGCUAAAACUCAAAGAAAUUGACGGGGGCUCACACAAGCGGUGGAGCAUGUGGUUCAAUUCGAAGCAACGCGCAGAACCUUACCUGGGCUUGACAUGCUAGGAUUAUCCCUAUGAAAGUAGGGUAGGCCCUUCGGGGUACAACUAGUACAGGUGCUGCAUGGCUGUCGUCAGCUCGUGUCGUGAGAUGUCGGGUUAAGUCCCUUAACGAGCGAAACCUUUGCCCUUAGUUACUAACGGGUUAUGCCGAGGACUCUAAGGGGACUGCCGGUGUCAAACCGGAGGAAGGUGGAGAUGACGUCAAGUCCUCAUGGCCUUUAUGCCCAGGGCCACACACGUGCUACAAUGGGGUGCACAGAGCGAACCGAGAGCGCAAGCUGGAGGAAAUCGCAUAAAUCACCCCCACGUUCAGAUUGGAGGCUGCAAC
rnacentral:rRNA from 1 species